rnacentral:rRNA from 1 species
AACACGAAGAGUUUGAUCCUGGCUCAGAACUAACGCUGGCGGCGCGUCUUAAACAUGCAAGUCAAGCGGGAGUAGCAAUACUUCAGCGGCGAACGGGUGAGUAAUACGUAGAUAAUUUACCUUCAGGACUGGGAUAACUUGUCGAAAGGCAAGCUAAUACCGGAUAGUAUUAAUGUUACAAAAGUAGUGUUAAUUAAAGUGGCAACACACCUAAAGAUGAGUCUACGGCCUAUUAGCUAGAUGGUGGGGUAAUGGCCUACCAUGGCGAUGAUGGGUAGCCGGCCUGAGAGGGUGUUCGGCCACAUUGGAACUGAGACACGGUCCAGACUCCUACGG